rnacentral:tRNA from 1 species
UGGGGUGUAGCUCAGUGGUACUGUGCCUACUCAGCAUGCAUGAGGCCCUGGGUUCAAUCCCCAGUGCCCAAA